rnacentral:rRNA from 1 species
AGUGAACGCUGGCGGUAGGCCUAACACAUGCAAGUCGAACGGCAGCACAGUAAGAGCUUGCUCUUACGGGUGGCGAGUGGCGGACGGGGGAGGAAUACAUCGGAAUCUACUUUUUCGUGGGGGAUAACGUAGGGAAACUUACGCUAAUACCGCAUACGACCUACGAGGGAAAGCAGGGGAUCGUCGGACCUGGCGCGAUUGAAUGAGCCGAUGUCGGAUUAGCUAGUUGGCGGGGUAGAGGCCAACCAAGGCGACGAUCCGUAGCUGGUCUGAGGGGAUGAUUCGCUACCUGGGAACUGAGGCACGGCCGAGACUCCUACGCUGGGCCGCAGUCGGGACUCCUGCACGAGGCGGCAAUGCCUGAUCCAGCCCUACCGCGUCGGUGCAGAAGGCGCCCUGGUGCUAGAGUCCUGUUGUUGGUAGAGAAAAGAAGCAGGUUCAUCUCCCGCUGUUCUGACGGUACCAAAAGAAUAAGCCCCGGCUAACUCCGUG